rnacentral:rRNA from 1 species
GACGAACGCUGGCGGCGUGCUUAACACAUGCAAGUCGAACGGCAAGGCCUUGCUUUUGUGGGUUGCUUGAGUGGCGAACGGGUGAGUAACCCGUCAGUAACCUGCCCUUUAGUUUGGUAUAACUUCAGGAAACUGUGGCUAAUACCGGAUAGUAGCUCCUGUUGCAUGGUGUGUGUUGAACAGUUUCGGCUGCUGGGUUUGGAUUCGCGGCUUAUCAGCUUGCUGUUGGAGUAGUGGCUUACCAAGGCGUUGACGGGUAGCCGGCCUGAGAGGGUGACCGGCCACAUAGGGACUGAGAUACGGCCAAGACUCCUACGGGAGGAAGCAACGGGGAAAAGUGCAAAAAGGGCGGAAGCCUGAUGCAGCAACGCCGCAGGAGGGAUAACGGCUUUCAGGUGGUAAAGAGAUUGCGACUGGAAAGAAGAGUGGGUGACGGUAAAGGGUAAGAAAGGAAAGGCUAACUACGUG